GUCUGUCACUAAUAAUCAACUUUCGGGUCAGCUUCCACAACAAUUGGGAAACCUCAGUCAUCUUGACAGCCUGUACCUAGAGAACAAUUUAUUCAGUGGUAAAUUGCCUCCAAGCUUGGAAUCACUGAAAAAUUUAGUCAUCUUCACUAUUCAAGGAAAUGACUUCAGUGGAAGGAUUCCGGACUUCAUCUCAAAGUGG